rnacentral:rRNA from 1 species
AACGAACGCUGGCGGCAUGCCUAACACAUGCAAGUCGAACGAGACCUUCGGGUCUAGUGGCGCACGGGUGCGUAACGCGUGGGAACCUGCCCUUAGGUUCGGAAUAACUCCCCGAAAGGGGUGCUAAUACCGGAUAAUGUCUUCGGACCAAAGAUUUAUCGCCUUUGGAUGGGCCCGCGUUGGAUUAGCCAGUUGGUAGGGUAAAAGCCUACCAAGGCGACGAUCCAUAGCUGGUCUGAGAGGAUGAUCAGCCACACUGGGACUGAGACACGGCCCAGACUCCUACGGGAGGCAGCAGUGGGGAAUAUUGGACAAUGGGCGAAAGCCUGAUCCAGCAAUGCCGCGUGAGUGAUGAAGGCCUUAGGGUUGUAAAGCUCUUUUACCCGGGAUGAUAAUGACAGUACCGGGAGAAUAAGCGCCGGCUAACUCCGUG